rnacentral:rRNA from 1 species
UACGUAGGUGGCAAGCGUUGUCCGGAUUUACUGGGCGUAAAGGGCGUGCAGGCGGUUUGUUAAGUGCAGGGUGAAAGCUCCCGGCUCAACUGGGAGAGGUCCUUGCAUACUGGCGAACUCGAGGGAGGCAGAGGAAAGUGGAAUUCCCGGUGUAGUGGUGAUAUGCGUAGAUAUCGGGAGGAACACCUGUGGCGAAGGCGGCUUUCUGGGCCUUACCUGACGCUGAGACGCGAAAGUGUGGGGAGCGAACCGG